AUUGAACGCUGGCGGCAUGCUUUACACAUGCAAGUCGAACGGUAACAGGCCGCAAGGUGCUGACGAGUGGCGAACGGGUGAGUAAUGCAUCGGAACGUGCCCAGUCGUGGGGGAUAACGCAGCGAAAGCUGUGCUAAUACCGCAUACGAUCUGUGGAUGAAAGCGGGGGACCGAAAGGCCUCGCGCGAUUGGAGCGGCCGAUGUCAGAUUAGGGAGUUGGUGGGGUAAAGGCUCACCAAGCCAACGAUCUGUAGCUGGUCUGAGAGGACGACCAGCCACACUGGGACUGAGACACGGCCCAGACUCCUACGGGAGGCAGCAGUGGGGAAUUUUGGACAAUGGGCGCAAGCCUGAUCCAGCAAUGCCGCGUGCAGGAAGAAGGCCUUCGGGUUGUAAACUGCUUUUGUACGGAGCGAAAAGGCUCUCUCUAAUACAGGGGGCUCAUGACGGUACCGUAAGAAUAAGCACCGGCUAACUACGUGCCAGCAGCCGCCGUAA
rnacentral:rRNA from 1 species